rnacentral:snoRNA from 1 species
AAUAAAUUGUAACUAUCUCUUUAUUCCUUAUUGAUCACUCUUUCUAGACCUUGGAUACAUAUGUUGAGAACCUUUUUACAGUAUUUGGC